rnacentral:rRNA from 1 species
CCGGAGAAUGUUAUCACGGGAGACACACGGCGGGUGCUAACGUCCGUCGUGAAGAGGGAAACAACCCAGACCGCCAGCUAAGGUCCCAAAGUCAUGGUUAAGUGGGAAACGAUGUGGGAAGGCCCAGACAGCCAGGAUGUUGGCUUAGAAGCAGCCAUCAUUUAAAGAAAGCGUAAUAGCUCACUGGUCGAGUCGGCCUGCGCGGAAGAUGUAACGGGGCUAAACCAUGCACCGAAGCUGCGGCAGCGAACGUAUCACUUAAAGCGAUUCAGCGGGUUACGAUUGACGGAGCGAAGCGACGUCAAAGCGUAUACAAAGUCGAGUCGGUUUAAGGAUACGUUCGUUGGGUAGGGGAGCGUUCUGUAAGCCUGYGAAGGUGKSYYGUGAGGSWUGCUGGAGGUAUCAGAAGUGCGAAUGCUGACAUAAGUAACGAUAAAGCGGGUGAAAAGCCCGCUCGCCGGAAGACCAAGGGUUCCUGUCCAACGUUAAUCGGGGCAGGGUGAGUCGACCCCUAAGGCGAGGCCGAAAGGCGUAGUCGAUGGGAAACGGGUUAAUAUUCCCGUACUUGGUGUUACU